rnacentral:misc_RNA from 1 species
AACUUUCGACAACGGAUCACUUGGCUCUCGCAUUGAUGAAGAACGCAGCGAAAUGCGAUAUGUAAUGUGAAUUGUAGAAUUCAGUGAAUCUUUGAAUCUUUGAACGCACCUUGCACCCUUUGGCAUUCCGAGGGGCACACCCAUUUGAGUGUUGUAACAUUCUCAAAAACCUUCUUUGGUUUCUUGACCAGGAAGGCUUUUGGACUUUGGAGGCUUUUGCUGGCCUUCCUUUGUUGAAGCCAGCUCCUCUGAAAUGAAUUAGUGGGGUCUGCUUUGCCUAUCCUUGAUGUGAUAAGAUGUUUUCUAUGUCUUGGGUUUUGCACUGUUCCUGCUUCUAACUGUCUCAUGGAAGACAAUGGUCAAGUGAUUGCCACUUGACCCACAAACCUUGACCUCAAAUUGGGUGAGACUACCCGCUGAAUUUAAGCAUAUCAAUAAGCGGAGGCU